rnacentral:rRNA from 1 species
GAUGAACGCUGGCGGCGUGCCUAAUACAUGCAAGUCGAGCGAACAGACGAGGAGCUUGCUCCUCUGACGUUAGCGGCGGACGGGUGAGUAACACGUGGAUAACCUACCUAUAAGACUGGGAUAACUUCGGGAAACCGGAGCUAAUACCGGAUAAUAUAUUGAACCGCAUGGUUCAAUAGUGAAAGACGGUGUUGCUGUCACUUAUAGAUGGAUCCGCGCCGCAUUAGCUAGUUGGUAAGGUAACGGCUUACCAAGGCAACGAUGCUUAGCCGACCUGAGAGGGUGAUCGGCCACACUGGAACUGAGACACGGUCCAGACUCCUACGGGAGGCAGCAGUAGGGAAUCUUCCGCAAUGGGCGAAAGCCUGACGGAGCAACGCCGCGUGAGUGAUGAAGGUCUUCGGAUCGUAAAACUCUGUUAUUAGGGAAGAACAAAUGUGUAAGUAACUAUGCACGUCUUGACGGUACCUAAUCAGAAAGCCACGGCUAACUACGUG